AUGUUAAGAUUGAAUAUUUUUAAGUUAGCGAAAAUGGGGCCUAGUAAGGGUAAAGGUCCCCUUAUAGCAAAAUAUGCACCUAGUGGUUUUAAAAAAGGAUUUGGAGCUAUAGGCUUAGGAAGACAUACGAAGAAAGGUUUUUUUAUUAUUAACAAAAUGUUAAUUCCUAAAUUUCAUGUCCCUGAUUUAAGUGAUUGUGAUGUAAGGCAAAAAAAAAAAAAAAAAAAAAAAAAAAAAAAAUGCUUAACGUUUAAUUAUCUAUGCGUUUUAGUAUAUUUUCAUUAUGUACGUGCAUAUUGUGUAUAAUCAACUGUAACUUAAGCAUAUAUAUAUAUAUAUGUAUAUAAAUACAUUAUCUAUCCCCCUUUUGGAUGCAUUAAUAUUUUAAAUUUAUAUACAUUUUUAUCAUUUGUUUUAUCAUGUGUGUAUGUUUCAUUAUUAGUUAAAGCCAUAUGUUUCGAGAAAAACUCCAUUGAUUGUUAUGAAAAAGCAGUUGGGUCCCAAGAGAAAAAUUUUGAAUUGAGAUGUGAAAAAAAAAAAAAAAAAAAAAUAUAUAUAUACAUAAUUAAUAAAUAAUUAUCUUUUUUGUUUUAAGCUAUUUCU
rnacentral:lncRNA from 1 species